rnacentral:misc_RNA from 1 species
AGAUGAUAUCCAUAAUAGGAACUUCCCAUCUCCAUGUCCCGCUAAAUACACGCAUGAUAUCAAAAAUAUGAUCAAGAUUAUUUCUAGCUUUGUUUUCUCUAAAAAUUAAAAUCAUUAUCCAACCCAAGAGAAGAGAAGAAUUCAAUUAUACAUAAAGGGUUUAUCAAUUUUGUUUAUCGGAAAGAAGCAUACAUCUCUUUGCGUUGAAAUUGUGGAAUUCUUAACCAAUACUCCAUUUGAAUUGCGACGGGCAACCUUUGGGCUAGUGAGCAGAGGCUGGGGUAACAAGCAAAUAACCCAAAGCCCAGAAGUUCACUUGGGUUAUACAACUGGGUUUAAAGGCCUAGAUUUAAACGUUACUGGUGGUUGACUUUAUGG